rnacentral:rRNA from 1 species
ACACAUGCAAGUCGAGGGGCAGCAUGAUUGAAGCUUGCUUCAAUUGAUGGCGACCGGCGCACGGGUGAGUAACGCGUAUCCAACCUUCCGCUUACUCGGGGAUAGCCUUUCGAAAGAAAGAUUAAUACCCGAUGGUAUGAUGAGAUUGCAUGAUAGCAUCAUUAAAGAUUUAUUGGUAAGCGAUGGGGAUGCGUUCCAUUAGGUAGUAGGCGGGGUAACGGCCCACCUAGCCGACGAUGGAUAGGGGUUCUGAGAGGAAGGUCCCCCACAUUGGAACUGAGACACGGUCCAAACUCCUACGGGAGGCAGCAGUGAGGAAUAUUGGUCAAUGGACGAGAGUCUGAACCAGCCAAGUAGCGUGAAGGAUGAAGGUCCUACGGAUUGUAAACUUCUUUUAUAAGGGAAUAAAACCUCCCACGUGUGGGAGCUUGUAUGUACCUUAUGAAUAAGCAUCGGCUAACUCCGUGCCAGCAGCCGCGGUAAUACGGAGGAUGCGAGCGUUAUCCGGAUUUAUUGGGUUUAAAGGGAGCGCAGACGGGUCGUUAAGUCAGCUGUGAAAGUUUGGGGCUCAACCUUAAAAUUGCAGUUGAUACUGGCGUCCUUGAGUGCGGUUGAGGUGUGCGGAAUUCGUGGUGUAGCGGUGAAAUGCUUAGAUAUCACGAAGAACUCCGAUUGCGAAGGCAGCACACUAAGCCGUAACUGACGUUCAUGCUCGAAAGUGUGGGUAUCAAACAGGAUUAGAUACCCUGGUAGUCCACACGGUAAACGAUGGAUACUCGCUGUUGGCGAUAUACGGUCAGCGGCUUAGCGAA